rnacentral:rRNA from 1 species
UGUGACCUUCAGAGAUGGAUGGUGCUUCGGGACUCAGACACAGGUGCUGCAUGGCUGUCGUCAGCUCGUGUCGUGAGAUGUUGGGUUAAGUCCCGUAACGAGCGCAACCCUUGUCCUUAGUUACCAGCACCUCGGGUGGGCACUCCAAAGAAAAUGGCGGGGAACAACCCGAAGAAAGGGGGGAAGAACUCCAGUCCUCCUGGCCCUUUAGGGCUGGGCUACAACCCUGCUUACAUGGUCCGGAACAAAGGUUGCCCAACCCCCAAGGGGAACUUAUCCCCUUAAACCCAACCUAAUCCCGAACCCAAUCCGGCACUCCACUGGCUGAAAUCCGAAUCCCUUAUAAUCCUGAAUCCAAAUGGCCAGGUGAAUACCUUUCCCGGUCUUGGACCCACCGAA